AAGUCGUAACAAGGUUUCCGUAGGUGAACCUGCGGAAGGAUCAUUAACACUCCAAAACUUCUCAUAGCUCUGGGAAACCAGAGUUUAUGAAACCCUAUUCACCAAUGCGAACCCGGCAGGUGUUUUGUGUGUGUCUCUGCUCGCAGAGCACCCAGGCAUCUUGCUACUCUUUUGUCCAUUCUUUUUUUUUUAAACCCAACACACUUUUUCUUAUUGUCUGACUGGAAGGCUUUACUGUCUUCCGUUGCUCUUGCAGCUAAACCCUGUAAGGCAAUGAAAACUCUAAAAACAAAAACAAAAAAACAACUCUUAGCAACGGAUAUCUUGGUUCUC
rnacentral:misc_RNA from 1 species